rnacentral:rRNA from 1 species
GAGUGCGGGGCUAAUACAUGCAAGUCGAGCGAAUGGAUUAAGAGCUUGCUCUUAUGAAGUUAGCGGCCCGACGGGUGAGUAACACGUGGGUAACCUGCCCAUAAGACUGGGAUAACUCCGGGAAACCGGGGCUAAUACCGGAUAACAUUUUGAACCGCAUGGUUCGAAAUUGAAAGGCGGCUUCGGCUGUCACUUAUGGAUGGACCCGCGUCGCAUUAGCUAGUUGGUGAGGUAACGGCUCACCAAGGCAACGAUGCGUAGCCGACCUGAGAGGGUGAUCGGCCACACUGGGACUGAGACACGGCCCAGACUCCUACGGGAGGCAGCAGUAGGGAAUCUUCCGCAAUGGACGAAAGUCUGACGGAGCAACGCCGCGUGAGUGAUGAAGGCUUUCGGGUCGUAAAACUCUGUUGUUAGGGAAGAACAAGUGCUAGUUGAAUAAGCUGGCACCUUGACGGUACCUAACCAGAAAGCCACGGCUAACUACGUGCCAGCAGCCGCGGUAAUACGUAGGUGGCAAGCGUUAUCCGGAAUUAUUGGGCGUAAAGCGCGCGCAGGUGGUUUCUUAAGUCUGAUGUGAAAGCCCACGGCUCAACCGUGGAGGGUCAUUGGAAACUGGGAGACUUGAGUGCAGAAGAGGAAAGUGGAAUUCCAUGUGUAGCGGUGAAAUGCGUAGAGAUAUGGAGGAACACCAGUGGCGAAGGCGACUUUCUGGUCUGUAACUGACACUGAGGCGCGAAAGCCGGCCACUC